UACGUAGGUGGCAAGCGUUGUCCGGAUUUACUGGGCGUAAAGAGCGCGCAGGCGGUCGUCCAAGUCGCGUGUGAAAGCCCCCGGCUCAACUGGGGAGGGUCACGCGAUACUGGUCGACUCGAAGGCAGGAGAGGGUAGUGGAAUUCCCGGUGUAGUGGUGAAAUGCGUAGAUAUCGGGAGGAACACCAGUGGCGAAGGCGACUACUUGGCCUGUUCUUGACGCUGAGGCGCGAAAGCUAGGGGAGCAAACAGG
rnacentral:rRNA from 1 species